GCCUUUGCAGCUGGAGACAGUACGCCGAACGACUCAAAAGAACUCGGCCGCAUGCAAGUCAGCGCCUGCUGGCGACACUUUCGAAUUGACGGGGACCCCCUAAAACCCUUCCCACCAAGCCAGCCCGGGAAACCGGCUGGUGGCCUGUUCUAACGCACAGGGUACGGUAACAGAGGAAGCGGAUGAACCGAGUGCUCUCUCCGGGGCCUUGGGGAAAUGGGCGAUCCGCAGCGAAGCCCCUUCUCUGCCCCCGCGGCAGAUGGGGAACGUCCACAGACUAAGUGGAAGUGGGUGGGGCACUGCCCUGCUUAAGAUAUAGUCGGGCCCCUGGGGAAACCUUGGGGAGCGUGGCACUCGCAGGUGCCAGUCGAAAAAACCGUUCCGUAGGUGAACCUUCGGAAGGAUCAUUACCAUAACGCGGUUGCCCGGUCAGGGCAGCCACACGCGUUCUUACCACCCUUGACUUUGAGCACCUUCAUGUUUCCUCGGCAGGGACGCCUGCCAGCGAGGACCCCCCAAAAACCUUUUGCAGUUUGCAGUAUUUGUCUGAAAACAAACAUAAUAAUCAAAACUUUCAACAAUGGAUCUCUUGGUUCUGGCAUCGAUGAAGAACGCAGCGAAAUGCGAUAAGUAGUGUGAAUUGCAGAAUUCAGUGAAUCAUCGAAUCUUUGAACGCACAUUGCGCCCUAUAGUAUUCUGUAGGGCAUGCCUGUUCGAGCGUCAUUUAACCCCUCAAGCCCAGCUUGGUAUUGGGUGCUUGUCCCGCCUCCUGCGCGGCGACUCACCUCAAAGUCAUUGGCAGCCCGCAAUCGCCGGCCGUGAGCGCAGCACAGACGCGCUUGUGGAAUCCGGCGGCUCGGCUCUCCAAAAGCUUGUUUCAACCACAAUUGACCUCGGAUCAGGUAGGGAUACCCGCUGAACUUAAGCAUAUCAAUAAGCGGAGGAAAAGAAACCAACAGGGAUUGCCUCAGUAACGGCGAGUGAAGCGGCAACAGCUCAAAUUUGAAAUCUGGCCCUUUCAGGGUCCGAGUUGUAAUUUGCAGAGGGUGCUUUGGCGUCGGCCGUGGUCUAAGUUCCUUGGAACAGGACGUCACAGAGGGUGAGAAUCCCGUACGUGGCCGCCGGUCUUCGCCGUGUAAAGCCCCUUCGACGAGUCGAGUUGUUUGGGAAUGCAGCUCUAAAUGGGAGAUACAUUUCUUCUAAAGCUAAAUAUUGGCCAGAGACCGAUAGCGCACAAGUAGAGUGAUCGAAAGAUGAAAAGCACUUUGGAAAGAGAGUCAAAAAGCACGUGAAAUUGUUGAAAGGGAAGCGCUUGCAGCCAGACGUGCCCGCAGUUGCUCACCCAGGCUCUUGCCUGGGGCACUCUUCUGCGGGCAGGCCAGCAUCAGUUCGGGCGGUUGGAUAAAGGUCUCUAUCACGUACCACCCUUCGGGGUGUCCUUAUAGGGGAGACGCAACACGGCCAGCCUGAACUGAGGACCGC
rnacentral:rRNA from 1 species